CGCUGGCGGCGUGCCUAAUACAUGCAAGUCGAGCGAACGGACGAGAAGCUUGCUUCUCUGAUGUUAGCGGCGGACGGGUGAGUAACACGUGGAUAACCUACCUAUAAGACUGGGAUAACUUCGGGAAACCGGAGCUAAUACCAGAUAAUAUUUUGAACCGCAUGGUUCAAAAGUGAAAGACGGUCUUGCUGUCACUUAUAGAUGGAUCCGCGCUGCAUUAGCUAGUUGGUAAGGUAACGGCUUACCAAGGCAACGAUGCAUAGCCGACCUGAGAGGGUGAUCGGCCACACUGGAACUGAGACACGGUCCAGACUCCUACGGGAGGCAGCAGUAGGGAAUCUUCCGCAAUGGGCGAAAGCCUGACGGAGCAACGCCGCAUGAGUGAUGAAAGUCUUCGGAUCGUAAAACUCUGUUAUUAGGGAAGAACAUAUGUGUAAGUAACUGUGCACAUCUUGACGGUACCUAAUCAGAAAGCCACGGCUAACUACGUGCCAGCAGCCGCGGUAAUACGUAGGUGGCAAGCGUUAUCCGGAAUUAUUGGGCGUAAAGCGCGCGUAGGCGGUUUUUAAGUCUGAUGUGAAAGCCCACGGCUCAACCGUGGAGGGUCAUUGGAAACUGGAAAACUUGAGUGCAGAAGAGGAAAGUGGAAUUCCAUGUGUAGCGGUGAAAUGCGCAGAGAUAUGGAGGAACACCAGUGGCGAAGGCGACUUUCUGGUCUGUAACUGACGCUGAUGUGCGAAAGCG
rnacentral:rRNA from 1 species